GUGCCAGCAGCCGCGGUAAUACGUAGGGUCCGAGCGUUGUCCGGAAUUAUUGGGCGUAAAGAGCUCGUAGGCGGUUUGUCGCGUCUGCUGUGAAAUCCCGAGGCUCAACCUCGGGCCUGCAGUGGGUACGGGCAGACUAGAGUGCGGUAGGGGAGAUUGGAAUUCCUGGUGUAGCGGUGGAAUGCGCAGAUAUCAGGAGGAACACCGAUGGCGAAGGCAGAUCUCUGGGCCGUAACUGACGCUGAGGAGCGAAAGCGUGGGGAGCGAACAGGAUUAGAUACCCUGGUAGUCC
rnacentral:rRNA from 1 species